AGAAACAAAAAGUAGCUUACACAAAGCACUCGACCUACACUCGAACGACAUUAAUAUUAAUCUUUUUGA
rnacentral:tRNA from 1 species